GCUCAGUAACACGUGGACAACCUGCCCUUAGGACGGGUAUAAACCCGGGAAACUGGGUAUAAUACCCGAUAGGUCUCGAGUGCUGGAAUGCAUCGAGAUCUAAAGCUCCGGCGCCUAAGGAUGGGUCUGCGGCCUAUCAGGUAGUAGUGGGUGUAGUGUACCUACUAGCCUACGACGGGUACGGGUUGUGAGAGCAAGAGCCCGGAGAUGGAUUCUGAGACACGAAUCCAGGCCCUACGGGGUGCAGCAGGCGCGAAAACUUUACAAUGCUGGCAACAGCGAUAAGGGAACCUCGAGUGCCAGGUUACAAAUCUGGCUGUCGUGAUGCCUAAAAAGCAUUGCAUAGCAAGGGCCGGGCAAGACCGGUGCCAGCCGCCGCGGUAACACCGGCGGCUCGAGUGGUAACCGUUAUUAUUGGGUCUAAAGGGUCUGUAGCCGGCCGGAUAAGUCUCUUGAGAAAUCUGGCAGCUUAACUGUCAGGCUUUCAGGAGAUACUGUCUGGCUCGAGGCCGGGAGAGGUGAGAGGUACUUCAGGGGUAGGGGGUGAAAUCUUGUAAUCCUUGAAGGACCACCAGUGGCGAAGGCGUCUCACCAGAACGGACCUGACGGCAAGGGACGAAAGCUAGGGGCACGAACCGGAUUAGAUACCCGGGUAGUCCUAGCCGUAAACGAUACUCGCUAGGUGUCGGCCACGGUGCGACCGUUUGUCGGUGCCGUAGGGAAGCCGUGAAGCGAGCCACCUGGGAAGUACGGCCGCAAGGCUGAAACUUAAAGGAAUUGGCGGGGGAGCAC
rnacentral:rRNA from 1 species